rnacentral:rRNA from 1 species
ACUCCUACGGGAGGCAGCAGUGGGGAAUAUUGCACAAUGGGGGAAACCCUGAUGCAGCCAUGCCGCGUGUGUGAAGAAGGCCUUCGGGUUGUAAAGCACUUUCAGUAGGGAGGAAGGUAGUGUAGUUAACACCUGCACUAUUUGACGUUACCUACAGAAGAAGCACCGGCUAACUCCGUGCCAGCAGCCGCGGUAAUACGGAGGGUGCGAGCGUUAAUCGGAAUUACUGGGCGUAAAGCGCAUGCAGGCGGCCUGUUAAGUCAGAUGUGAAAGCCCGGGGCUUAACCUCGGAAUUGCAUUUGAAACUGGCAGGCUAGAGUCUUGUAGAGGGGUUAGAAUUUCAGGUGUAGCGGUGAAAUGCGUAGAGAUCUGAAGGAAUACCAGUGGCGAAGGCGGCCCCUGGACAAAGACUGACGCUCAGAUGCGAAAGCGUGGGAGCAAACAGGAUUAGAUACCCCUGGUAGCGACU